rnacentral:misc_RNA from 1 species
UCCGGUUUGUCACCGGCGGUCUCUUUAGAGUGCCCAACUGAAUGCUGGCAACUAAAGACAAGGGUUGCGCUCGUUGCGGGACUUGACCCAACACCUCACGGCACGAGCUGACGACAGCCAUGCAGCACCUGAGCAGGAUGGUAUUGCUACCUCGUUGGGCUUUCACCCUUCUACUACCUGCAUGUCCAGCCUGGGUAAGGUUCUUCGCGUUGCGUCGAAUUAAACCACAUGCUCCACCGCUUGUGCGGGUCCCCGUCAAUUCCUUUAUGUUUUAAUCUUGCGACCGUACUCCCCAGGCGGGAUGCUUAAUGCGUUAGCUGCGCCACUGAAGGGUAAACCCACCAACGGCUAGCAUCCAUCGUUUACGGCGUGGACUAC